UACAGAGGGUGCAAGCGUUAAUCGGAAUUACUGGGCGUAAAGCGCACGCAGGCGAUUGGUUAAGUCAGAUGUGAAAGCCCCGGGCUCAACCUGGGAAUUGCAUUUGAAACUGGCCAACUAGAGUACGUGAGAGGGGGGUAGAAUUCCAAGUGUAGCGGUGAAAUGCGUAGAGAUUUGGAGGAAUACCAGUGGCGAAGGCGGCCCCCUGGCACGAUACUGACGCUCAGGUGCGAAAGCGUGGGAGCAAACAGG
rnacentral:rRNA from 1 species